GCCUUCGUGGUGUAGUGGUCAGCACGCUCAACGGGUUCUCGAGAGGUCUGUGGUUCGAGUCCCGGCCAGGGCA
rnacentral:tRNA from 1 species